UUUUCUAAGACUAAGCCAUGCACGCCUAAGUACAACUAAAUGAUGGUGAAACUGCAAAUGGCUCAUUACAACGGUUAUGAUGUACCCGGGAGUUCCGAUGGAUAUUUCCAGUAACACUAGAACUAAUACAUGUCCCUGCGUUUAUUAGUUUCGCACAGUCCGUCGCUGAGUCAUGGUAAACAGUUGAUCGACUCGACGUCCCGGAACAGUUUCCGCCCCAUCAGCUUCGAUGGUUGGGUAUUGGCCUACCAUUGCAACAACGGGUAACGAGGAAUUAGGGUUUGAUUUCGGAGAGGGAGCCUGAGAAACGGCUACCACAUCUACGGAUGGCAGCAGGCGCGCAAAUUACCCAAUGCAGACACUGUGAGGUAGUGACGAGAAAUAAUAAAGCGGGACUUCUGUUUCGCUAUUAUAAUGAGGAAUAACCAAAGGUCAUUCCGAUUAGCAACUGAUGGGAAAGUCUGGUGCCAGCAGCCGCGGUAAUACCAGCGUCAGUAGCA
rnacentral:rRNA from 1 species